rnacentral:lncRNA from 1 species
CUGGCUGUCAAAAUUAUCAUUUAUAGUAUAUUGAUUUAGUUGUGUCUUUCUGAUGAUGGUCAAGUUGGCCGAGCCACACUUAGGCCUAGUCACUCGUUUAUCAGAUAUACUAAACUCUGGCAUAUUAAUGGUUGGACAUAACUAGAACUUUCAAUGGAGGCACCACAUGCCUGUUGAAGAGAUGUCUGGGGCAAAAUUGAAUGCU